rnacentral:lncRNA from 1 species
CGGCCAGCCGCAGCCGCUCCAGACCCGUUCGGGCCGAGGCGAACUCGCGACGCCCUCCCUGCGUCGCCGCCGCGUGGGACCACACCCGAGGCAUCCCUCCGGCCUCAGGCAACCCUCCGCCGCCGUCCUGGAGCUCCGCGGCCGCCGCCGUGCCCGCCAUUGCCCGCGGAACCCGAGCUGAGCCUGUGCGGGCUUGCCUUGCUCCGCCGUCGCCGCCGCCGCUCUCCGUCAUCACCUGAGGUGAGCGCCAUGCUCCUUCCCUCCCC